UUCCAGUCUGGUGGAUGUGAGAGCAAAAGGGGGAGUGAAAAAUAUUGGGGGGGGGGGGAAUGCCCAGUACCCCUUGCUACCGCUUGGAGUCAUCCCUGUGGGAGAGCAGGAGGUACAGCUACAGAUGCCUGGGCACCAGCAAGCCUGUUUUUGUUCCCCUGGUACCUGGCUACAACAUGCCAUCUGCAAGCACUUGUAGCAGCUAUGACAGGUGCUCCUGCUGGAACCCAGAGGCUUCUGUACGCAGAAGGUGCCUCAUUCAGAGGCUACUGUUUUCCUUCACCUUUGUGGGAACCAGAGUCAGCUCCCCAUCCUGCGGUGUAAUGAAGCUCCCAGACUGAUCCACAGAAGAGAGCUGGAGGCUGAUACUGAGGUUUUUUUAACCUACUAAUCCAGAUUUGUUCCAUAUUGUAACAGAGUGAUACACUAAGGGAAUGCUGCAUAAAUGUUUCUUCAGUGCUUAGCUAAGCUGGACCAAAAGGGGUUUUCCAAGGCACAUGCUGAAGCGCCUGGAUUUAUUUCACAAAUCUACAUCAUUUCAGAGAGGAGGUUUUUCACUGUAGGAUGAUACACAAC